GACUUGGACUUUUCAGUAUUAGUGAAUCCCUUCGGGGACAGAAUGACAGGUGGUGCAUGGUUGUCGUCAGCUCGUGUCGUGAGAUGUUGGGUUAAGUCCCGCAACGAGCGCAACCCCUAUUAUUAGUUGCCAACAUUAAGUUGAGCACUCUAGUGAGACUGCCCGGGUUAACCGGGAGGAAGGUGGGGAUGACGUCAAAUCAUCUUGUCCCUUAUGCCUAGGGCUACACACGCGCUACAAUGGUGGGAACAAAGAGAUGCAAUACCGCGAGGUGGAGCUAAACUCAAAACCCCAUCCUAGUUCGCAUUGUAGGCUGAAACUCCGCUACAUGAUGCUGGCGUUGCUAGUAAUCGCGAAUCAGAAUGUCGCGGCGAAUACGUUCCCGGGCCUUGUACACACCGCGGAA
rnacentral:rRNA from 1 species